rnacentral:sRNA from 1 species
CUGAGACUGCAGGACAAAGAGAGACGUCUGAAGCUGGAGGACGAUUCUGAGGAAAGUGAUGCUGAAUUUGACGAAGGUUUUAAAGUGCCAGGUUUUCUGUUCAAAAAGCUUUUUAAGUACCAGCAGACAGGUGUUAGGUGGCUGUGGGAAUUGCACUGCCAGCAGGCAGGAGGAAUUCUGGGAGAUGAAAUGGGAUUGGGCAAGACCAUCCAGAUAAUUGCCUUCUUGGCAGGUCUGAGCUACAGCAAGAUCAGGACUCGUGGUUCAAAUUACAGGAGAAACUAAUUCGAGAUGUUGCUCAUUGUCAUGGAAUUUUGAUCACAUCUUACUCCUACAUUCGAUUGAUGCAGGAUGACAUUAGCAGGUAUGACUGGCACUAUGUGAUCUUGGACGAAGGACACAAAAUUCGAAAUCCAAAUGCUGC